rnacentral:tRNA from 1 species
GGGCAGGUGCUGGAGCGGUCAAUCAGGGUAGGCUGUAAACCUACUGCCUUAACGGCUACGGGGGUUCGAAUCCCUCCCUGCCCA